GAUGAACGCUGGCGGCGUGCCUAAUACGUGCAAGUCGAGCGAACAGACGAGGAGCUUGCUCCUCUGACGUUAGCGGCGGACGGGUGAGUAACACGUGGAUAACCUACCUAUAAGACUGGGAUAACUUCGGGAAACCGGAGCUAAUACCGGAUAAUAUAUUGAACCGCAUGGUUCAAUAGUGAAAGACGGUUUUGCUGUCACUUAUAGAUGGAUCCGCGCCGCAUUAGCUAGUUGGUAAGGUAACGGCUUACCAAGGCAACGAUGCGUAGCCGACCUGAGAGGGUGAUCGGCCACACUGGAACUGAGACACGGUCCAGACUCCUACGGGAGGCAGCAGUAGGGAAUCUUCCGCAAUGGGCGAAAGCCUGACGGAGCAACGCCGCGUGAGUGAUGAAGGUCUUCGGAUCGUAAAACUCUGUUAUUAGGGAAGAGCAAAUGUGUAAGUAACUAUGCACGUCUUGACGGUACCUAAUCAGAAAGCCACGGCUAACUACGUG
rnacentral:rRNA from 1 species